AAGAAAUUAGUUAAUCAUAACAUUAAUAUGUCAUAUUAAAAUUAUUACAUUGUAAUAUUUCUUA
rnacentral:tRNA from 1 species